GACGAACGCUGGCGGCGGGCUUAACACAUGCAAGUCGAACGGUGAACCUCUUCUGGGGGGUGCAGUGGCGAACGGGUGAGUAACACGUGGGCAACCUUCUCCCGGCUAUGGGAUAACUCCAAGAAAUUGGGGCUAAUACUACAUGUUCACCGCUUCGCGCAUGGGUGGUGGUGGUAAGGGUUUCCGGCUGGGGGUGGGCCCGCGGCCUAUCUGCUUGUUGGUGGGGUAGUGGGCUACCAAGGCGACGAAGGGUAGCCGGCAUGGGAGGGUGACCGGCCUCCAUACGACUAAGGGACGGACCAGUGUCGAAUGGGGGGCAGCAGUGGGGAAUCUUGCGCAGUCGGGGGGAGCCUGAGGAGGCGACGCCGGGUGGGGGAAGACGGUCUUGGUGUUAUAAACCGCUUUCAGCAGGGACGUAGCGGAAGUGACGUUACCUGCAGAAGAAGCACCGGCCAACUACGUG
rnacentral:rRNA from 1 species